rnacentral:rRNA from 1 species
UACGUAGGUGGCAAGCGUUGUCCGGAAUUAUUGGGCGUAAAGCGCGCGCAGGCGGUUUCUUAAGUCUGAUGUGAAAGCCCACGGCUCAACCGUGGAGGGUCAUUGGAAACUGGGGAACUUGAGUGCAGGAGAGAAGAGUGGAAUUCCACGUGUAGCGGUGAAAUGCGUAGAGAUGUGGAGGAGCACCAGUGGCGAAGGCGACUCUUUGGCCUGUAACUGACACUGAGGCGCGAAAGCGUGGGGAGCAAACAGG